CUUCAGUAAAUUGGAGGCAUGCCUGUCUGAGCGUCAUUUAAAACCAUAGACCGGAAAGGGUUUGUAUUGGGCCUCGCCGUCUGGCGUAGCCUUAAAGACAUUGGUCUUACAUGCGGACGAGCUCCUUUCGGACAGAUCGCGUCGAGACUUUAAGCAUCUGACUUGACCUCAGAUCAGGUAGGACCACCGCCUGAACUUAA
rnacentral:misc_RNA from 1 species